rnacentral:rRNA from 1 species
GAUGAACGCUGGCGGCGUGCCUAACACAUGCAAGUCGAGCGGUGAACCUGCUUUCGGGUGGGGGAUCAGCGGCGAACGGGUGAGUAACACGUGGGUAACCUGCCCUCGACUUCGGGAUAACUCCGGGAAACCGGGGCUAAUACCGGAUAUGAGUUCGCCCCGCAUGGGGUGUUCUGGAAAGAAUUUUUGGUCGGGGAUGGGCCCGCGGCCUAUCAGCUUGUUGGUGGGGUGAUGGCCUACCAAGGCGACGACGGGUAGCCGGCCUGAGAGGGGGUUCGGCCACACUGGGACUGAGACACGGCCCAGACUCCUACGGGAGGCAGCAGUGGGGAAUCUUGCACAAUGGGCGCAAGCCUGAUCCAGCCAUGCCGCGUGUGUGAAGAAGGCCUUCGGGUUGUAAAGCACUUUCAGUAGGGAGGAAGCGUUGUGUGUUAAUAGUACACAGCGUUGACGUUACCUACAGAAGAAGCACCGGCUAACUCUGU